AAUCAACGCUGGCGGCGUGCCUAACACAUGCAAGUCGAACGAGAAAGUGGAGCAAUCCAUGAGUAAAGUGGCGCACGGGUGAGUAACACGUGACUAACCUACCCUGGAGUGGGGGAUAACUGAGGGAAACCUUAGCUAAUACCGCAUAAUACCUACGGGUCAAAGGAGCAAUUCGCUUCAGGAGGGGGUCGCGGCCGAUUAGUUAGUUGGCGGGGUAAUGGCCCACCAAGACGAUGAUCGGUAUCCGGCCUGAGAGGGCGCACGGACACACUGGAACUGAAACACGGUCCAGACUCCUACGGGAGGCAGCAGUGGGGAAUUUUGCGCAAUGGGGGAAACCCUGACGCAGCAACGCCGCGUGGAGGAUGAAGUACUUCGGUACGUAAACUCCUUUCGAUCGGGACGAUUAUGACGGUACCGAGAGAAGAAGCCCCGGCUAACUUCGUG
rnacentral:rRNA from 1 species